rnacentral:rRNA from 1 species
AGUAACGGCGAGUGAAGCGGUAAUAGCUCAAAUUUGAAAUCUGGCCUCUCGGGGUCCGAGUUGUAAUUUGUAGAGGAUGUUUUGGGUACCGCCCCGGUCUAAAUUUCUUGGAACAGAAUGUCAAAGAGGGUGAGAAUCCCGUCUUGGACCGGCGGUAGGGCCUGUGUAAAACUCCUUCGACGAGUCGAGUUGUUUGGGAG